rnacentral:rRNA from 1 species
GAUGAACGCUAGCGGCAGGCCUAAUACAUGCAAGUCGAACGGGAUUGAGGAGCUUGCUCCUCAUGAGAGUGGCGCACGGGUGCGUAACACGUAUGUAACCUACCUUAAUCAGGGGGAUAGCCUCUCGAAAGAGAGAUUAACACCGCAUAACAUUAUUGGAUAGCAUUAUUUAAUAAUCAAAUAUUUAUAGGAUUAAGAUGGGCAUGCGGAACAUUAGCUAGUUGGUAAGGUAACGGCUUACCAAGGCUACGAUGUUUAGGGGAUCUGAGAGGAUGACCCCCCACACUGGUACUGAGACACGGACCAGACUCCUACGGGAGGCAGCAGUAAGGAAUAUUGGUCAAUGGGCGCAAGCCUGAACCAGCCAUGCCGCGUGCAGGAAGACGGCCCUACGGGUUGUAAACUGCUUUUGUACCGGAAUAAACCCUUUUACGUGUAAGAGGCUGAAUGUACGGUAAGAAUAAGGAUCGGCUAACUCCGUGCCAGCCGCCGCGGUAA